UAUACCGUGAAACUGCGAAUGGCUCAUUAAAUCAGUUAUCGUUUAUUUGAUAGUACCUUACUACUUGGAUAACCGUGGUAAUUCUAGAGCUAAUACAUGCUUAAAACCCCGACUUCGGAAGGGGUGUAUUUAUUAGAUAAAAAACCAACGCCCUUCGGGGCUUCUUGGUGAUUCAUGAUAACUUUUCGGAUCGCAUAGCCUUGCGCUGGCGACGGUUCAUUCAAAUUUCUGCCCUAUCAACUUUCGAUGGUAAGGUAUUGGCUUACCAUGGUUUCAACGGGUAACGGGGAAUUAGGGUUCGAUUCCGGAGAGGGAGCCUGAGAAACGGCUACCACAUCCAAGGAAGGCAGCAGGCGCGCAAAUUACCCAAUCCCGAUUCGGGGAGGUAGUGACAAUAAAUACUGAUACAGGGCUCUUUUGGGUCUUGUAAUUGGAAUGAGUACAAUUUAAACCUCUUAACGAGGAACAAUUGGAGGGCAAGUCUGGUGCCAGCAGCCGCGGUAAUUCCAGCUCCAAUAGCGUAUAUUAAAGUUGUUGCAGUUAAAAAGCUCGUAGUUGAAACUUGGGUCUGGCUGGCAGGUCCGCCUCACCGCGUGUACUUGUCCGGCCGGACCUUCCUUCUGGAGAACCUCAUGCCCUUCACUGGGCGUGUUGGGGACCAGGACUUUUACUUUGAAAAAAUUAGAGUGUUCAAAGCAGGCCUUUGCUCGAAUACGUUAGCAUGGAAUAAUAGAAUAGGACGUGCGGUUCUAUUUUGUUGGUUUCUAGGACCGCCGUAAUGAUUAAUAGGGACAGUCGGGGGCAUCAGUAUUCAAUUGUCAGAGGUGAAAUUCUUGGAUUUAUUGAAGACUAACUACUGCGAAAGCAUUUGCCAAGGAUGUUUUCAUUAAUCAGUGAACGAAAGUUAGGGGAUCGAAGACGAUCAGAUACCGUCGUAGUCUUAACCGUAAACUAUGCCGACUAGGGAUCGGGCGAUGUUCUUUUUUUUGACUCGCUCGGCACCUUACGAGAAAUCAAAGUU
rnacentral:rRNA from 1 species